rnacentral:misc_RNA from 1 species
UUAGUUUUUUCAAUGAGAUAGAAGUGCAGAAAUUUAUUGAAAGCUUUUUUUAAGAUACAUGUUUGAUCCCUUCUUUUAGGUCAAUGGUGUCAUCGUGAAGAUGAAGUUUCAGUGGCAGGACAUCUGCCCUUCAUGGCGAAAGAGGUCAGGAAAACAACCCCGGAAAGCUUGCAACAUCAAUGGACUGCACCUUUGAUGAGAGGCGCUACUGGAUGAUCAUUGCCAAGCCACUCGUCAGUCAGGUACUAAGGAAGUAUCCAGUUCUGGGAUAUACUCAAGAGGCAAGAGGCUGCCAGUGCCCCAGUUAACGGUGCUUGGACCACGACCGGUUUGGACAGACAUCCCGGUGUUCAAGCCAUCGUCGACGGAAGUGCACUUUUCAUGAUUUGACCAUAUCGUAGAUUCUACCGCUCAGGAACUUCGACUUCAGUCAUCUUUGAAUGUGAUGUGUAUCUGCGACGCAAUAAAGCUAUGUUCAACCUGAA